AUUGAACGCUGGCGGCAGGCCUAACACAUGCAAGUCGAACGGUAGCACAGAGAGCUUGCUCUCGGGUGACGAGUGGCGGACGGGUGAGUAAUGUCUGGGAAACUGCCCGAUGGAGGGGGAUAACUACUGGAAACGGUAGCUAAUACCGCAUAACGUCUUCGGACCAAAGUGGGGGACCUUCGGGCCUCACACCAUCGGAUGUGCCCAGAUGGGAUUAGCUAGUAGGUGGGGUAAUGGCUCACCUAGGCGACGAUCCCUAGCUGGUCCGAGAGGAUGACCAGCCACACUGGAACUGAGACACGGCCCAGACUCCUACGGGAGGCAGCAGUGGGGAAUAUUGCACAAUGGGCGCAAGCCUGAUGCAGCCAUGCCGCGUGUAUGAAGAAGGCCUUCGGGUUGUAAAGUACUUUCAGCGGGGAGGAAGGCGUUAAGGUUAAUAACCUUGGCGAUUGACGUUACCCGCAGAAGAAGCACCGGCUAACUCCGUGCCAGCCGCCGCCGUAAUAC
rnacentral:rRNA from 1 species